rnacentral:rRNA from 1 species
UACGUAGGGUGCAAGCGUGUCCGGAAUUAUUGGGCGUAAAGAGCUCGUAGGCGGUCUGUCGCGUCUGCUGUGAAAACUCGGGGCUUAACCCCGGGCCUGCAGUGGGUACGGGCAGACUAGAGUGCGGUAGGGGAGACUGGAAUUCCUGGUGUAGCGGUGAAAUGCGCAGAUAUCAGGAGGAACACCGGUGGCGAAGGCGGGUCUCUGGGCCGUAACUGACGCUGAGGAGCGAAAGCGUGGGGAGCGAACAGG